UACAGUAGAAGAUUAAAUUAUUUGGUUUA
rnacentral:piRNA from 1 species